CGACUCUGUGCCCUGGUGAAUUAAGGCCAAGAGAGGACGAGAAGGACGACCCCAGGUCUGGAGAGGGUGCCCAUCCCUGAGAGUCAGAACACAGGUGCUGAGCUGGGCCCGGGGGAUCCGAGGAGGAGGAAAUGCGUUCCUACCUUCAGGUCCUCAACUGGGGACGUGGUGCUUUACGAGAUGAAGAGUGGCUUCUCCUGCUGGAAGCUCACCCUAUGGGAACAAGAGACGGGGCAAAAGAAACAUGGAGGAAGAUUUUCAUUCUGGCUUUAUUCGUAACAUCGAAAUUGGGAAUACGCUAAACACACAAGAGUGACCCGACAGUUACCUGCGUGACGACCGUUACCUGCCUGUGGAUGUGGCUUGCCUGGAAUGCAAUGCUGCAGCUUGACUCACGGAACGUGGGCGUGCGCUGAUAACGGGGGAUUGGCUGUCUCUGCGUCCACACUCCACCUAUCCAUUCCCUGCUGGUGGCCUCCGAUGACGGUGGAGGCUGGCCAAGCUUUGUCUCCUUCUCGUUUCCUUGGCCAGUCAUGACAUCUGGCCGCAAAGAUGCUUCCCAUGGUCCCUUGGACAUCACACGGCGACAGCCCCACAUUUGGUUACAUAAAGUGCAAAUGAAUCACGAACACGUGGAUUUUAU
rnacentral:lncRNA from 1 species